GUGCUCGCUUCGGCAGCACAUAUACUAAAGUUGGAACGAUACAGAGAAGAUCAGCAUGGCCCCUGUGCAAGGAUGACACGCAGAUUCGUGAAGCGUUCCAUAUUUUU
rnacentral:snRNA from 2 species